rnacentral:rRNA from 1 species
UACAGAGGGUGCGAGCGUUAAUCGGAAUGACUGGGCGUAAAGGGCGCGUAGGCGGAUGGCACAGUCAGAUGUGAAAUUCCCGGGCUUAACCUGGGGGCUGCAUUUGAUACGUGUUGUCUUGAGUUCGGAAGAGGGUCGUGGAAUUCCCAGUGUAGAGGUGAAAUUCGUAGAUAUUGGGAAGAACACCGGUGGCGAAGGCGGCGACCUGGUCCGACACUGACGCUGAGGCGCGAAACGUGGGGGAGCAAACAGGG